rnacentral:rRNA from 1 species
UGGCUCAGAUUGAACGCUGGCGGCAGGCCUUACACAAUGCAAGUCGAGCGGAUGACGGGAGCUUGCUCCUUGAUUCAGCGGCGGACGGGUGAGUAAUGCCUAGGAAUCUGCCUGGUAGUGGGGGACAACGUUUCGAAAGGAACGCUAAUACCGCAUACGUCCUACGGGAGAAAGCAGGGGACCUUCGGGCCUUGCGCUAUCAGAUGAGCCUAGGUCGGAUUAGCUUGUUGGUGAGGUAAUGGCUCACCAAGGCGACGAUCCGUAACUGGUCUGAGAGGAUGAUCAGUCACACUGGAACUGAGACACGGUCCAGACUCCUACGGGAGGCAGCAGUGGGGAAUAUUGGACAAUGGGCGAAAGCCUGAUCCAGCCAUGCCGCGUGUGUGAAGAAGGUCUUCGGAUUGUAAAGCACUUUAAGUUGGGAGGAAGGGUUGUAGAUUAAUACUCUGCAAUUUUGACGUUACCGACAGAAUAAGCACCGGCUAACUCUGUGCCAGCAGCCGCGGUAAUACAGAGGGUGCAAGCGUUAAUCGGAAUUACUGGGCGUAAAGCGCGCGUAGGUGGUUUGUUAAGUUGGAUGUGAAAGCCCCGGGCUCAACCUGGGAACUGCAUCCAAAACUGGCAAGCUAGAGUACGGUAGAGGGUGGUGGAAUUUCCUGUGUAGCGGUGAAAUGCGUAGAUAUAGGAAGGAACACCAGUGGCGAAGGCGACCACCUGGACUGAUACUGACACUGAGGUGCGAAAGCGUGGGGAGCAAACAGGAUUAGAUACCCUGGUAGUCCACGCCGUAAACGAUGUCAAAUAGCCGUUGGAAUCCUUGAGAUUU